AUGAAUACUGGGUCUACUCAGCCAGCACCCUGGAGCCAGGGUACCCCAAGCCGCUGACCAACCUGGGGCUGCCCCCCGACGUUGAACGAGUGGAUGCUGCCUUUAACUGGAGCAAGAACAAGAAGACAUACAUCUUUGCCGGAGAGAAGUUCUGGAGAUACAAUGAGGUGAAGAAGAAAAUGGAUCCCGGCUUCCCCAAGCUCAUCGCAGAUGCCUGGACUGCCGUCCCUGAUAACCUGGACGCCGUGCUGGACCUGCAGGGCAGUGGUUACAGCUACUUCUUCACGGGUCCAUAUUACCUGAAGUUGGAUAACCAAAGCCUGAAGAGCGUGAAGUUUGGAGGCAUCAGAUCCGACUGGCUGGGCUGCUGAGCUGUCCCCAGCUCCCACAGGCCCUGCCUCUCCGUCACUUCUGCGCACUGGGCCCUGAGCAUCAGGGAAGGGCCUGGCAGCCUUCAGCUCUGUGGUUAAUCAGCAUUCCUAGCCCCCACCUGGUAAUUUAAGAUUCUGGAGAGUGGCUCUGCCCUGUGCCCAAGGAAAGGUGCUGACUGUACCCCUCCCAGGUGCCCCUCCCCCUGUCCAUGUCCCACUAGCCCGCCAGAGCCACCUCCAAAGAGAUGCUUUGAAAUCCUCCAUGCGGCCCUGCCAUGGGCUGCCCUGGUGCUGUCAUACUUCAGGCUCCUCUCCCUCCACAACCUUCUGUGGCUUACAACACCCUCAGAGCCAACAGAGACUGUCUCCCGAGGGCACUGGUGGCCCCACAGCCUGGCCUGGGGCCGUGGAAGAGAGGCAUGGCCAGAAGGCCACCCAGACGCCUGGUUUCUUACUGCUGGCUGCCUUAGAACCUUGCCUACAUUAGCAGUCUGCUUUGUAUGCACUUUGUUCUUUUAUUUUGAUCGUUUUUAUUUUUCCACUUUGAAACUACGUUUCCUGACAGAAGGUUUCAGGCUGUCUGAAGUCACUACACGAUGCAUCUCAGCCCACCUAGCAAUGGUUCCCUUGUUCACUCUGUUUAGUAUGCUCCUGCCCCGUCACUUCCUCCACUGGAUGGAGGAAAACCAAGCCAUGGUUUCUCGCUCAGCCCUCCCCUCCUCGCCCUUCAACAGUUCCCCAUGGGAAAUGUCAACAGAUAUGAAUAAAAACACCAGUUGAGUGGCA